ensembl:lncRNA
CGAGAGGCACCGUAGUCCUACCACACAAAGAAGUGAACUCUGCCAACAGUGGAAUGGCCUGAGAGGCAGGUUCUUUCCCACAAUCUCCAGGGAAGAGCCAGGCUUGGCCGAUGUCUUGAUUUCAGGCUGUGAUACUGUGGCCUGAGAACCCAGUCAGCUCCACCCAGACUUCUGACCUACAGAGCUGUGAGUUGCUGCGUGAAUUGUGUAGAAAGCAGAGGGUUUCCAAAACUCAUCCCCUUCAUCCUCAGUACUUGGGAACACAGGAAUGUUGGGCAACCACUAAAGAUACAAGAACAAAGCCACAAAUCCAGCAGGACGUGGUGGCGCUGGCUGAGGCAGGAGGCUUGCCAAGCUUGAGCCCCAAGGCAACAAAGAGAGACACUAACUCAGAAUAAAAAUUUUUAAAAGGC